rnacentral:rRNA from 1 species
UACGGGGGGGGCAAGCGUUGUUCGGAAUUACUGGGCGUAAAGGGCUCGUAGGUGGCCAACUAAGUCAGACGUGAAAUCCCUCGGCUUAACCGGGGAACUGCGUCUGAUACUGGAUGGCUUGAGUUUGGGAGAGGGACGCGGAAUUCCAGGUGUAGCGGUGAAAUGCGUAGAUAUCUGGAGGAAUACCGGUGGCGAAGGCGGCAUCCUGGACCGACAUUGACGCUGAAAGCCGAAAGCUAGGGGAGCAAACGGG